AAUAUUGGACAAGGGUCGAAAGCCUCAUCCAGCCAUGCCGCGUGAGUGAUUAUGGCCCAAGGGUUGUAAAGCUUUUUCUCCGAUGAAGUUAAUAACGAUAACCUGACAAACAGCUCCGGUUAACUUCGUUCCAGCAGCCGCGGUAAUACGAAUGGUGCGAGCGUUUUUCGGAAUUACUGGGCGUAAAGCGCACGUAGGCGGAUCGGUCAGUUAGGAGUUAAAUCCCGGGGCUCAACCCCGGAACUGCCUUUAAUACUGACGGUCUAGAGUCCGAGAGAGGUGAGUGGAAUUCCGAGUGUAGAGGUGAAAUUCGUAGAUAAUCGGAGGAACACCAGUGGCGAAGGCGGCUCACUGGCUCGGUACUGACGCUGAGGUGCGAAAGCGUGGGGAGCAAAC
rnacentral:rRNA from 1 species